AAACAAUAUCAACUCCCAUUCCUAACCUUAAGUUUUCGUUCUGCCACUUCCUUUUGACAUAGUUUAAAAACCCAUGUAUGGAAAGCUUGCUUCAACAAGGGGAAUACAUGUGUAGAGUUGGAUACCCUUUAACCCUGAUGGCACCCCGAACAUCAUCACCCAGGUCAACAAAAGCCAGGCUAACAUCCCUCAGGCCAAUGACAGUCAGGCCUCCGUCACCCAGGCCUCCGUCACCCAGGCCUCCGUCACCCAGGCCAACGUCACCCAGGCCAACGUCACCCAGGCAAACUACAGGCAGACCGACGUGUCCCAGGCCAACGACAACCAGGCCAAAGUCUCCCAGGUGAACAACAGCCCAGACAACAUCACACUCAGAUACCCCCCCCUGACUCCGGACAGCCCGGAUGACACUGUCACCCUGAACUCAGUUGACUCCCUAUCCCUCCCGACAAAGGGAGGAAGAAGACAUGAAUGUUUAGUGCCUUGGAGCAUUUUCACAUAUCCACAUCUGAUUCUGAUCUUUGUGUUUAGUACCUUUAUUGGCACUAAAAUAUGUAAAUUAGAAACGAAACAAAGUCUUGCUCUAACAAAUCUUGGUAGCUGCCUGAGGUGGGUGUAGGAACAGUGAAAAUAUAUUAAGAUGCCGUUUUUAGAUCAGAAGUAGUUGAGUACAUAAGGCUCCGUAACUGCAACAGAGUGAUACUUCUGAAGAUGUAAGAUAAGUUGGGCAGUAUGUGAAGUUUCACUCAAGAACAGUAUUUCCCUCCCUUGUCUGUCUCUGAUAGCUGUCUCCCCUUCUCUUGGCUCUUUGAACUCUGUGGCUCAUUCAAUGCCUCAGCUAGCCUCACAGUUGCAUUCCCAAGCAGGAAAUCUGUAGAUGAUUAGUGUUUGUAGUUAAGGUCAUCUUGUCUUUUUGUAGUUGAAAGGGAACUUAGUCAUUCUGCUUUUGAUAUUGCAGUGUGCACAAUGGAGUAUGGCCAGUGAAGUCCGUGAUCAGGGAAAGGUUGGCCCAGGCAAGGCACAGAAAGAGAAAAUAAAUGUGAUCGUAUAACCUACUGUACGUAUUAUUGAAGAUCAUUGGCUGUUUUAUAAGAAAAAUCACAAUGUCCCAUGAUUAGGACCUUGUGUUUUGUGCAAUCAUUUCACAUAGCCUGAGGAUGGUUUAAAUAAAGGUACAAGUACAGGCAUUUCACAUGAUUUCACAAAACACAGGUUCGUACCCAUGAUUUCCCAAUAGCAGUGGUACAUAAAGGUGACGGACCCCAUACACUUACCACAAAUUCCUCGUUUUGCCAAGUUCUCCAUAUGGUACAUUGCUCUCCGUUACUGUUUUUUGUAUGGUCAUUAGCAGGGUAUACAUGAGGCCAAUUUUAGCUUCAAGACACAGGCAAAAAAUGAAAUAAUAUAUUGUGCUGAUUCAUUGGUAUAUUGAACCAUAUCGCUCGCUGUUAUUGAAGAUCAUUGGCUGUUUUAUAAGAAAAAUCACAAUGUCCCAUGAUUAGGACCUUGUGUUUUGUGCAAUCAUUUCACAUAGCCUGAGGAUGGUUUAAAUAAAGGUACAAGUACAGGCAUUUCACAUGAUUUCACAAAACACAGGUUCGUACCCAUGAUUUCCCAAUAGCAGUGGUACAUAAAGGUGACGGACCCCAUACACUUACCACAAAUUCCUCGUUUUGCCAAGUUCU